rnacentral:lncRNA from 1 species
CACGCGGAAUGGAGCAGCCCACACACAGGACAGGCAUGGCCCAGGCCACCCAGCGGGGCCCAAGCCUGAAGACUGCAGUCCCAAAUGGCCCCACUAACACCCUGGGCACCGUUCCAGCCUCACCAGCAAGCUGCGUUCAUGAGUCUCCUCACCUCAGGGACCCUGGGGAUGCCUUUCCGGGGCUGUUGGGUGUCCAGCAGACACCGCCACAAAAGGGAGGGCACUGGGGGGACCUGCACAGGGAUGAGAGGGCCAUCAGCAGCCAGCAGCCGUCCUGCUUCCCCCGGUGCAGAGCACAUCCUUCUGCCACAGGCUCUCCCUAAGUAGUCCGUUGCCUGGUGCUUGUCCCAAACUAGCUGCUUCUCCAGCCCCAGCCCUUCCACAGCGGGGACACAGGGCAAUCCAGGGGGUCCGGCACCCUGUCGGGUACCUGCAGGCCAGUGAUGCCCCUCUCCACAGGAGCAGAAGGACGAGGCCGUGCAGACCGAGGUCACCUCCUCCAUUGCUGCCCACAGCCAUGCUGACACCAGCUCCGGGGUCCUGAAGGAGGAGCGCACAGAGCUCUUUGGUCAGCCCAGGCCUGGAGCACCCUGCAGCGCGCAGAGGAGCGGCCACGUUCGUCCAUGGGAAAGCGCACACCCUGCCAGGCCAACUGCCAGGUGGAGGCCGAGCUGCAAGCAGGCAGCAGCAAAGCCGAGCAGGCACAGAGCAGGGAGGUGGCAGUGCGGGUCCAGGCAGAGCUCAGCCAGUGCCAGCGGAAACAGCAACUGAGCCUGGAGCAGGCGCUGAAACACAUGCACCCUGCGUCCCAUGCCCAAGAGAAGGUGCAGAAGAGCCAGGAACAGCUCCAAGCCCUGAGGGAGCAGGUUGGUAGUGGACAAAACCUGCUGGGGGGGUCCCUCCGUCAGCCUGGCCCAGUCUCCCCUGCCCCNGUGGGUAGGGCAGGGCUUGCCCAGGGCCAGGAGCAAGCUACCACGCCACGAGAGCAGCAAGGGCAGCUGCACUGCCAGCAGGACGGGAAGGAAAAGCUCUAGCAAGAGCUGCAGCAGGCGAGGAGUGGACGAGCACCCUCAAGAGAGAGAAUAAAGCCCUGGAGCAAAGCCUGUGCUGCA